AGCAGUAGCCACGGUAACACGGAGGGUGCAAGCGUUAAUCGGAAUUACUGGGCGUAAAGCGCACGCAGGCGGUCUGACAAGUCAGAUGUGAAAUCCCCGGGCUUAACCUGGGAACUGCAUUUGAAACUGUCAGGCUGGAGUCUUGUAGAGGGGGGUGGAAUUCCAGGUGUAGCGGUGAAAUGCGUAGAGAUCUGGAGGAAUACCGGUGGCGAAGGCGGCCCCCUGGACAAAGACUGACGCUCAGGUGCGAAAGCGUGGGGAGCAAACAGGAUUAGAUACCCGUGUAGUCCCUGUCUCUUAUAA
rnacentral:rRNA from 1 species